rnacentral:rRNA from 1 species
UACGUAGGGUGCGAGCGUUAAUCGGAAUUACUGGGCGUAAAGCGUGCGCAGGCGGUUUUGUAAGUCACCUGUGAAAUCUCCUGGCUCAACUGGGAGCUUGCAGGCGAAACUGCCGUGCUGGAGUGUGGGAGAGGUGCGUGGAAUUCCCGGUGUAGCGGUGAAAUGCGUAGAGAUCCGGAGGAACACCGACGGCGUAAGCAGCGCCCUAAACGAGUACUGACGCUCAGGCACGAAAGCUGGGGGAGCAAACAGG